GAUGAAGAACGCAGCGAAAUGCGAUAAGUAAUGUGAAUUGCAGAAUUCAGUGAAUCAUCGAAUCUUUGAACGCACCUUGCGCUCCUUGGUAUUCCGAGGAGCAUGCCUGUUUGAGUGUCAUUAAAUUCUCAACCUCACCUCUUGUGUGAUGGCUUGGAUUUGGGAGUUGUGCAGGCUGCAGUUCUCUGCGGCUCUGCUCUCCUUAAAUGUAUUAGCAGGUCUUUUACCUCUAUCCCAACAGUGUGAUAAUCUAUCUACGCUGCUGGUUUGGAGACCCACUUGUGGGGGACUGGCUUCUAACCGUCUGAAAAGACAAUUGACAUUCUUGACCUCAAAUCAGGUAGGACUACCCGCUGAACUUAAGCAUAUCAAUAAGCGGAGGA
rnacentral:misc_RNA from 1 species